GCCGCGGUGGUGGAAUGGUAGACACGAGAGACUUAAGAUCUCUUUUCCGAAAGGGAGUGUGGGUUCGAGUCCCACCCGCGGUACCA
rnacentral:tRNA from 5 species